rnacentral:lncRNA from 1 species
ACAUGGCUGUUGCAAUCCCUUUGCUAAUAUAUUUCGAAUUUAUCCUGUCGGGAGAGCUCCUGUGAAACAUCGUGUAUUUUCUAUAUUCCAUGUCUAAAUUUACUAACUUCUCUGUGUAAGGAAUCAACCAGCAAUUACCUGAAAAGUUCUGAACUCUGCUCUGUAACUCAAGUAGCUACCGGUAAAAGCCACUUGAUAAAUGGCUUGUAGUGCUACCUUCGUUGAAAAGCCACUUACAAGGCAAAUAAUGAGAGCGGAUCAAAUGGCUCAUGAUGGUAAGCCAGCCCACAUGCUUACCUCAAGCUCUCUCUCAAGGGUAGGAUUUUCAGCAACAAUCCACUCUACAUCAUCAUCACCAUCAUCACCACCACUACCGUCACCAUAACCACCAUCAUAGCCACCACUAUCACUACCAUGUUGCAUUGUGGUGCCAGGGGGUAGAAUCGCAGUAAAGCGACAUUCCUAGUAGAAAUGUGUAUGAGAAGCCAACGCUUCCUGGAUAGGCCCCAAAGAGCAGUUGAUAUUACACAGAUAUUGUUGUCUUGGCACACGGAUCAACUCUAUCAUCUUGCCCUCUGGAUUAUUUACAUUUGCUUCCCCCUCCCCCUCCACAGUGAGCACCUCAUCACAUUCAUCUUCUGCUUCAUCAGUUCCACCUGCGUAUUCCCACCAAAAUUCCUCUGCAUUUCCGUAGAAUUGACGCACUCCUGGAAUACAUGAUAUCAUGUGCCUGCGUUCACUGCAGCGUGUUUCAGCCUACGGGACUUAUAACUGGUUGAGAAGGUCGUUGCAUGGAUCAUCCAGGGCCAGCCCUUCCAUCAGGCAAAAUAAGGUAGCCAACUAAAGCAACAGAUUUUAGGUGUUAUGAAAGGGAAGUAAAUUGUUAGUUACUCAGUCUGUAUUUAUUUUAUGUUUAUUAAAGGUGCAGGUGGGGAGAGGCGUUUGUGGGGGUCUUUUGACAUAUGCACAAUGCAUUUGCUGAUUGUGCAUAUGAUGAGGUGGGGGAAAGAAAUUUGCUGCUCUGUCUCAGCCGGUAAAAUAUAUUUGGCCUGCCCUGUUAGACUGGCCAAAUGAAAUGGAGGACAGGGAUCCAAUAUCUUUUAAUAGUUGUGUGGAGAAACAAAUUUCAGCAGGUGUAACCUGUCAUGCAAUUUACAGCUGCAGA